GACGAACGCUGGCGGCGUGCUUAACACAUGCAAGUCGAGCGGUGACCCAUCUUCGGAUGGUGAUCAGUGGCGAACGGGUGAGUAACACGUGGGCAACCUGCCCCUAGCUCUGGGAUAACUCCUCGAAAGAGGUGCUAAUACCGGAUAUCACCUCCCUGGACAUCUAGGGAGGUUGAAAGUUUUUCGGCUAGGGAUGGGCCCGCGGCCUAUCAGCUUGUUGGUGGGGUAAUGGCCUACCAAGGCGACGACGGGUAGCCGGCCUGGGAGGGCGACCGGCCACACUGGGACGGAGACACGGCCCAGACUCCUACGGGAGGCAGCAGUGGGGAAUAUUGCGCAAUGGGCGAAAGCCUGACGCAGCAACGCCGCGUGAGGGAUGACGGCCUUCGGGUUGUAAACCUCUUUCAGCAGGGACGAAGCGAAAGUGACUGUACCUGCAGAAGAAGCGCCGGCUAACUACGUGCCAGCAGCCGCCGUAAUAC
rnacentral:rRNA from 1 species